UACGUAGGGGGCGAGCGUUGUCCGGAUUUAUUGGGCGUAAAGAGCUCGUAGGCGGCUUGGCAAGUCGGGUGUGAAACCUCCAGGCUCAACCUGGAGACGCCACUCGAUACUGCCAUGGCUAGAGUCCGGUAGGGGACCGACGGAAUUCCUGGUGUAGCGGUGAAAUGCGCAGAUAUCAGGAGGAACACCGGUGGCGAAGGCGGUCGUCUGGGCCGAUGAUGCUGAGGAGCGAAAGCGUGGGAGCAAGCAGGAUUAGAACCGUACCGUCGAGUCCAAGACC
rnacentral:rRNA from 1 species